GCCAUGCAUGGUGGCACGUACCCUU
rnacentral:piRNA from 1 species